AGAGUUUGAUCAUGGCUCAGAUUGAACGCUGGCGGCAGGCCUAACACAUGCAAGUCGAACGGUAACAGGAAGCAGCUUGCUGCUUUGCUGACGAGUGGCGGACGGGUGAGUAAUGUCUGGGAAACUGCCUGAUGGAGGGGGAUAACUACUGGAAACGGUAGCUAAUACCGCAUAACGUCGCAAGACCAAAGAGGGGGACCUUCGGGCCUCUUGCCAUCGGAUGUGCCCAGAUGGGAUUAGCUAGUAGGUGGGGUAAAGGCUCACCUAGGCGACGAUCCCUAGCUGGUCUGAGAGGAUGACCAGCCACACUGGAACUGAGACACGGUCCAGACUCCUACGGGAGGCAGCAGUGGGGAAUAUUGCACAAUGGGCGCAAGCCUGAUGCAGCCAUGCCGCGUGUAUGAAGAAGGCCUUCGGGUUGUAAAGUACUUUCAGCGGGGAGGAAGGGAGUAAAGUUAAUACCUUUGCUCAUUGACGUUACCCGCAGAAGAAGCACCGG
rnacentral:rRNA from 1 species